CUCCCUGUCUCUUAGCUCUGACUGAGACAUUACACUCCCUGGUUGUCCAGUGGCAAUGUGCAAGCUGCAUAUUUAGUGGAGACAGGACCCAGCACACACAAAUUUAAGCUUCUGGCAGCGCCUCUCUCUCGAGUCCAGCAUGCGUGCCACAUGGAGCAUUCCCAUGGUAACCAGAGGCAACUCUCUGACGUCCGAGUGAUGGAGAGGGGAGCUGCUGGAAAUGGACGUUCAUGAGUGAAGAGGAUCAUGGGUCCUCUUCACUAUAAAUGCAGACGGUGCCCAGCGAUCACUCAGGAUCGCUGGGGCCGUAACAAGUGUUACGGUUGUCACGCCCUAAUGGCGGCCCUGACCACAGCGCAUUAAGAAGCAUUGGAAAGCUGCAGUCAUUCGCAUCUACAACUCAGAGACUUCUCAUGACUGAUAGUUUCCCUGGCAGACAGAAAGCCUGUACCUGGGGAAGAGGGGAGGGCUUGCAAAUGCUGCAGACAGCAGGUUACCCCAAAGAAAACAUGAAAAAUAAAUUAAUGUUUUAUUUAUGGGGGGCAGGGUAGUAAGAGGUUGCUAGUCACUGUUAUUGUGUCUUGGAUAAUGCCAAUGCACACGGCAGCCUAUGCCACACAG